UUCUUUUUUCUCCUGAUCUUUGACAUUCUCCAUUUCUUUUUCCUGUUUACUCAGUAACUCACUGAUUUUUUUUAUUUAUCAUGUGAUCAA